AUCAUGCUCUUCGCCUGGCAAAUCAAUAGCAAAAAAAAUGUUCGUUGCUGACGAUGGGGAAGGAAGCAUUAGUCAAUCCAGUGGAGGUGGUGUUGGUGGAUCCAGUGAUGAGAAAGAUAAUUAGGUGCUGGUGUAGGAACGUGGAACUUUUGCCUUCACAGUUGCAGCCAUGUGUAAUUCAGGGUUAUCAUCUAUUUCUACUUUUCUCAAGUUGUCGUAUAUGUUAGUUGGAUGGGGGAGAUGUGGUACAUACUUUUGUAUGCAACAUCGCUAACGAUUUGCCUACACAAACCUGCCAAGGUUAACUUUGAUCAGGAUGCUACGCCUAUCACGCUUUUGAUAUGCUGGCGGCCAACGUGAAUGCAUCUCACUUAAAAUCGUGCUUGUUACCUUUCCUCCCCGGAUGUUCAUCCUUAGCAACUUGUACUGUGUAAUGGCAGAAGAAAAACCUACUCUUUUGUAUAUAUCAACUGCCCGUUGUUAAACCUUUUGCUACAUCGCACGGCUGCAAACUGUGCUCUACUUAUUUGUGUGGCUAAAGUCUUUUGGCAACCCAGAAAUGCAUUUUAUUCCAUGACUCACUUAUAUGCUACCAA